GGCAUCAGGUAAGCCAAGAUGGGUGCAUACAAGUACAUCCAGGAGCUAUGGAGAAAGAAGCAGUCUGAUGUCAUGCGCUUUCUUCUGAGGGUCCGCUGCUGGCAGUACCGCCAGCUCUCUGCUCUCCACAGGGCUCCCCGCCCCACCCGGCCUGAUAAAGCGCGCCGACUGGGCUACAAGGCCAAGCAAGGUUACGUUAUAUAUAGGAUUCGUGUUCGCCGUGGUGGCCGAAAACGCCCAGUUCCUAAGGGUGCAACUUACGGCAAGCCUGUCCAUCAUGGUGUUAACCAGCUAAAGUUUGCUCGAAGCCUUCAGUCCGUUGCAGAGGAGCGAGCUGGACGCCACUGUGGGGCUCUGAGAGUCCUGAAUUCUUACUGGGUUGGAGAAGAUUCCACAUACAAAUUUUUUGAGGUUAUCCUCAUUGAUCCAUUCCAAGCUUCACUUGCUAAGCUUGAAAAUCGUUUCCUCACCAAAGAACUGAUGAGAUACUCCCAAUUGGUGCCAUUGCCACCACUUGAUCAGCUCUCUUCUGAGCCUGAAAAUAGUUUGCGCUUCCUGUGCUGCAGGCAUGAAGUAGGGGAGUAUUUCGAUUUGCAGCUGUGUGCAGCCGUUUAG